rnacentral:lncRNA from 1 species
CCAGCCUUGGCUGGACCACUUCCACCCCAGAGGCUCUUCACCGCCUCCCCAUCCAGACCCAAGGUUCCCUAGUGGUCCAGACGGUUUCCUUGGCAGCGCUGGCACCAGGCCCACCACAGCUGCCAAACAUGAGGUGAUGGGACAGCCCUCGUGGCCUCCACCCACCGCCCUGGUGGAGAAGUGAAACAUGAACCCACCAGUGCAAGACAGAGGAAGAGGCACCAGCGAAGUCACACUAGGGAGAAUCCACAUCAGCCUGGCCAUGCAGGGGAGGCCUCACGAAGCCCUGGGAAGCCAGAGGUGAGUCAGAAGGGAUGGUAAGGCGAAUAGCUCUGAAACCGGAACCCUGGCAUAGAGCUGGGGGCAGGAAGGUUCACCGAAGGUAAUGGUGCUUGCUUUAAAAUUCAAGGGGCCCAAGGGAGCAUCAUCUUUCAGGAAGGCACCACUAGUUGAUAAGAGGCCAAGUGUGCCUCAAGCUCCAGGUACCUGAGGUUGCUGCGCUAGCAUGGCCUGUGAAAGAUGCCAAAGGUGGACUUUAUUUUAUAACUCCUCUUCUUAUCCUCCUCCCCAUGACUGGGCACAACCGUAAGGGCCAUAAGAACUUACCCUCUGUGGCCUCUACUUUUGCUUAUAUGAGCAGGGGGAGGUGGAGCGAGACCAGGUGGGCACCUUGAGGGACCCUCAUUUGGCUGAACUGCAGCAACUCAACCUGCCCCAAAGGAAUUCCAGCCCCCUUGCUUCCUAGGGACCCUUGGGAAUACCUCGUAGGCAGCCGAAUCCCAAAGGGAAAAAUGAAGGUCUCCCCAAACCCAGCCCAGGACAAGGGCCAAGCUGGAAAAAAUGACUUGGAGGCCAGUCACCACGUUUUUCCCCAGUGAAAGGCUGACUCAUUGCAACAGGCCUGGGCUGGCUGGGACUUGAGCCGGUGGCUUGGAACAUGCUGGGACAGUGAGCGCCUUGUCUGAAAGGCAGACUGUGAGAAGCCACGGGUCAGGGGAGCUGAGGCCACUGCCCUAAGAAACACCCCUCACACAGCCACGUGAGCCCCAGGGGAAGCAGGGGCCAGGUGGGUGUCCAUGCUGCCUCCCACUCAGACUCUGGAGAGCUAGCGUCACCUUGCUGGAUAAGGUCUAGAGAGGCUCUAAGCCCCAGGGCAAUUAAGCCCUAAGGUCCUGAGACAUGAGCAUUUUGAUCCUUCCUCCCCAUACGAAGUGCAAACUGAAAACACAAAGCUUAAAAUAAAUUUAGAGAAACCCCAAUAAGCCCUUGAUUUUAAUCAUAAGAUGAUCUCCAUGUUUUUCUUUGAAAUAUCAAAAAGAAAUUAUUUUCCAAUUUUGGGGAGAUGGAAGGAAGCUGGGGCUGCUU